GCGAUUAUGGCGGAAUUGGUAGACGCGCAGCGUUGAGGUCGCUGUGGAGAGAUCCGUGGAAGUUCGAGUCUUCUUAAUCGCACCA
rnacentral:tRNA from 1 species